GAUUAGGGUCAUAACAACCUUAACGUGCCAGAUCUCAUCUGAUCUCAGAAGCUAAACAGGGUCAGGCCUGGCUAGUAUUUGGAUGGAAGGCCUGGAAAUAGCCGGUGCUCUAGGCU
rnacentral:rRNA from 1 species